GUGCUCAUUUCAGAAGCACUUAUACAAAAAUUAGAACAAUACAGAGAAGAUUAGAAUGCCCCUGGCAAAGAUGACAUGCAAAUUUAUGAAAGAUUCCAUAUUUGU
ensembl:snRNA U6 U6 spliceosomal RNA